rnacentral:rRNA from 1 species
UACAGAGGGUGCAAGCGUUGUUCGGAAUUAUUGGGCGUAAAGCGCGUGUAGGCGGCUUUGCAAGUCGGGUGUGAAAUCCCACAGCUUAACUGUGGAAGUGCGCUCGAAACUGCAGAGCUUGAGUACCGGAGAGGAUGGUGGAAUUCCCCAAGUAGAGGUGAAAUUCGUAGAUAUGGGGAGGAACACCGGUGGCGAAGGCGACCAUCUGGACGGAUACUGACGCUGAGACGCGAAAGCGUGGGUAGCAAACAGG